GACGAACGCUGGCGGCGUGCUUAACACAUGCAAGUCGAACGGAAAGGCCCUGCUUUUGUGGGGUGCUCGAGUGGCGAACGGGUGAGUAACACGUGAGUAACCUGCCCUUGACUUUGGGAUAACUUCAGGAAACUGGGGCUAAUACCGGAUAGGAGCUCCUGCUGCAUGGUGGGGGUUGGAAAGUUUCGGCGGUUGGGGAUGGACUCGCGGCUUAUCAGCUUGUUGGUGGGGUAGUGGCUUACCAAGGCUUUGACGGGUAGCCGGCCUGAGAGGGUGACCGGCCACAUUGGGACUGAGAUACGGCCCAGACGCCUAAGGGAGGCAGCAGUGGGGAAUAUUGCAAAAUGGGCGGAAGCCUGAUGCAGCAACGCCGCGUGCGGGAUGACGGCCUUCGGGUUGUAAACCGCUUUCGCCUGUGGCGAAGCGUGAGUGACGGUAAUGGGUAAAGAAGCACCGGCUAACUACGUG
rnacentral:rRNA from 1 species